rnacentral:rRNA from 1 species
ACGCUCGACACCUACGGGAGGCAGCAGUGAGGGAUAUUGGUCAAUGGGGGAAACCCUGAACCAGCAACGCCGCGUGAGGGAUGACGGCCUUGGUUGUAACCUCUGUCCUCUGUGAAGAUAAUGACGGUAGCAGAGGAGGAAGCUCCGGCUAACUACGUGCUAGCAGCCGCGGUAAUCUGAGCGGGCUGGCAAGGC